AGCUUUGCGCAGUGCCAGUAUCGUAGCCAAUGAGGUUUAUCCGAGGCGCGAUUAUUGCUAAUUGAAAACUUCCCAGAAAACAAAUCUUGUACUGCCCAUCCCCCAUAGGUACUGCAGGAAGUAGGUUUGGCCUCUCAGAGCUGGA